rnacentral:rRNA from 1 species
UUGCCCAGACAACUAGGAUGUUGGCUUAGAAGCAGCCAUCAUUUAAAGAGUGCGUAAUAGCUCACUAGUCGAGUGACACUGCGCCGAAAAUGUACCGGGGCUAAACAUAUUACCGAAGCUGUGGAUUGUCCUUUGGACAAUGGUAGGAGAGCGUUCUAAGGGCGUUGAAGCAUGAUCGUAAGGACAUGUGGAGCGCUUAGAAGUGAGAAUGCCGGUGUGAGUAGCGAAAGACGGGUGAGAAUCCCGUCCACCGAUUGACUAAGGUUUCCAGAGGAAGGCUCGUCCGCUCUGGGUUAGUCGGGUCCUAAGCUGAGGCCGACAGGCGUAGGCGAUGGAUAACAGGUUGAUAUUCCUGUACCACCUAUAAUCGUUUUAAUCGAUGGGGGGACGCAGUAGGAUAGGCGAAGCGUGCGAUUGGAUUGCACGUCUAAGCAGUAAGGCUGAGUAUUAGGCAAAUCCGGUACUCGUUAAGGCUGAGCUGUGAUGGGGAGAAGACAUUGUGUCUUCGAGUCGUUGAUUUCACACUGCCGAGAAAAGCCUCUAGAUAGAAAAUAGGUGCCCGUACCGCAAACCGACACAGGUAGUCAAGAUGAGAAUUCUAAGGUGAGCGAGCGAACUCUCGUUAAGGAACUCGGCAAAAUGACCCCGUAACUUCGGGAGAAGGGGUGCUCUUUAGGGUUAACGCCCAGAAGAGCCGCAGUGAAUAGGCCCAAGCGACUGUUUAUCAAAAACACAGGUCUCUGCUAAACCGUAAGGUGAUGUAUAGGGGCUGACGCCUGCCCGGUGCUGGAAGGUUAAGAGGAGUGGUUAGCUUCUGCGAAGCUACGAAUCGAAGCCCCAGUAAACGGCGGCCGUAACUAUAACGGUCCUAAGGUAGCGAAAUUCCUUGUCGGGUAAGUUCCGACCCGCACGAAAGGCGUAACGAUUUGGGCACUGUCUCAACGAGAGACUCGGUGAAAUCAUAGUACCUGUGAAGAUGCAGGUUACCCGCGACAGGACGGAAAGACCCCGUGGAGCUUUACUGUAGCCUGAUAUUGAAAUUCGGCACAGCUUGUACAGGAUAGGUAGGAGCCUUUGAAACGUGAGCGCUAGCUUACGUGGAGGCGCUGGUGGGAUACUACCCUAGCUGUGUUGGCUUUCUAACCCGCACCACUUAUCGUGGUGGGAGACAGUGUCA